UUUAGAUAUUUCGGUAGGUUUAACUCGAUUUUGCGAGAACGGAGAAAUAAGCGACGUCCACAGGGCUUUAUUUAAAAACUGCAAUCCUUCGAAUGUGGUCGACUUCGAGCGUAGGACGGCGUACAAGGUGUCUGGGGACGGCGACGCGAACACUCGAGGAGGCUAUUACGACGCCGAGAUCCUCGAACUGACGGGGCUGUGCAUUCUACAAAGGGCAGCGAUCGGACUGUCCUCUCAUCUCGACAACUUUUCUGUCGCUGUACCAUCAUAACGCUACUGUUCGAUGGGUAAUUCGUUUUCAUGACUACCUGCGGCUCGGCUGUUGAUGCGGGAGGUGCUGUAGGGCCCUACUGCCUAACACUUGCUGACGAGGACAUCCUUGCAAAGAAUGAGAUCGUGGAUCCUAGCAUCGGCCUCCAGAAAAGGAAGGAAUGAUCCAUGUCGGGCAAGGUGUGCACGUCAACCAGGAAUGCGGGCAACAUGCGGAAAGCAGAGUGCGACUCCAUGUUUUGCAAGAUCACUGCUGCUUCCAUAGGGUGAGUGGAAGUGCUUUUGGAGAGGUCGGUGACCGGCACCCUCUCCAACAAGGCAAAGGCAGCGAGGCAAGAGGAGGCGUUUGCCCCGCUCACUCAGCGCA